rnacentral:rRNA from 1 species
GUUGACCUCGGAUCAGGUAGGAAUACCCGCUGAACUUAAGCAUAUCAAUAAGUCGAGG